UAAUACGAAGGGCCCGAGCGUUAAUCGGAAUCACUGGGCUUAAAGCGUGCGUAGGCGGACCAGCAGGCAUCGUGUGAAAUCCCUCGGCUCAACCGGGGAACUGCACGGUGAACCGCUGGUCUUGAGAUGGGUAGAGGCUGUCGGAACGCUAGGUGGAGUGGUGAAAUGCGUUGAUAUCUAGCGGAACGCCGAAGGUGAAGACAGGCAGCUGGGCCCAUUCUGACGCUGAGGCACGAAAGCGUGGGGAGCGAACGGGAUUAGAUACCCCGGUAGUCCACGCCGUAAACGAUGUGCACUAGGUCGAGGACGUUCUGACACGAUUCUUGGCCGAAGCAAAAGUGAUUAGUGCACCGCCUGGGGAGUACGGUCGCAAGGCUA
rnacentral:rRNA from 1 species